GCGCAGGCUCAACAAUCCUGCCCGCAGCUUGCGCGUGCCGCCCACCUGCUUUGGCUAACAACUCGCGGCCAUAUAAGCCCUGGCCACGCCUUCUCGUCUAUCCAAUUAAGCUAAUGUGGAAAGAAGCCGCCGGUGGCAGAGAGCGUUUGUGCGGGGAGUGGAGGCCGCUGAGCUCAAUUUCCGUAGUCAUCGUUGUCCCGUGCUCAGGGAGGGGUCACAUGGGUUCUAUCGCGGGCGGAGAUCGCUGGUGAUUGAUUCCCUGGGCGUGUAGGUCACCAGAGUUCGGGGAACUGCUCGCCGGAGCGCGACCGCUGUAGGAGAACAACAUCUCCCCGUGGUCAGGGCACUGCGAGGCACAAUCGUCGACGAGCUAGUGGCCGAGGAUUCUGGUGUUCAGCAGGUAGAAGUUGCUGAGCAGGAGCUCAUUGAAGGCAAGUUGUGCCCUUGACCACUUAUUUACCCAAUAAUGUUAUCUAUAAUUAUUUUAUCAUGGAUAGGCUUAAAUUUGAUGGGACCCAAUAGGCCACCCUAGUCUGGUUAUCUUUUCACCUUGUUUACCCUUGAAUUUUUGGGUAGUCUUUGCUAUUGCUAUAUAUGGUUUUGGGUGUUGAGAUAAUUAUUACACUUGAUCAUUCUUUAUUAUUGUUCUACUUCUGCUCAUGAUAAGACCACUAUGUUAAUUGGAACAUCGAACUUAACUUGAGAAACACGUGCCACCAUAGGGGUGGAAUGGGACGUCCUUGGCUGACUAACUAGGAAAGCUAGUGGAGGACUACUGUUGGGGACCUUCGGCAUUCGAAGGUCCUCAAAAACAGGAUUUAACAGUAUUUCUGGAAGUAUAAUGUGUGAGCAGGUACCUUCGAACUCAAGUUGGUAUCACGGCGGGAGAGGACCCGGAUAGUACGAAGGUCUUGAUACAACGCCGAAGAUGUCAGCAGGAAAGCUUCGGCGUGGUUGCAGGAAAUGAAACCGACUUAAAGAUGAAAAGGCUAUUCAGACCUCGAUAGAUUACUAUAGAAUUAUUGUCAAAUGUAAAGGGCAUGAAUGUAAUUUUGUAUGGGCUGCGUCCCGUGCCUAUAAAUAGGUGAACAGAACCCCCGUACUGUUCACGCUGACUUGGCAUUCGCUUUUUGCGUCACGCCUGUACUGUCAUCUUCUGAUUGAAGGUACUCUUGUAAUUUAACAAUGUUUUUGUUUAUGUCCGAUAACAAUAUAUAAUCCUUCAUGUUGCCUUUUA